rnacentral:lncRNA from 1 species
CAGCUCCAAAGUGGAGGUUUACACAGUAGAUCCACUUUAAUAUCCUUUUCCAAUAGGUGAUAUAUUACUUCGGACUUGAGUAUCUCAUCCUAUGUACAGGGCACUAAACAAACAGCUGUUAACCUAUGCAUAAUUAAACAUUUCACAAGGCAUUUUAGAUAUUGUAAACACAUCCAUUCAGUCAUUUGCAGAGAAUUGUGCCACUGCCUGUUAUUGGAUUUGAAGAGGUCAUCCAAUCAUAAUAAAGUUCAAUGAAAUCUGAAGACUGGUUAGGAAAGUCUUAACCAUAACCACUUGCUGUCUAUUGAAAUGUAUUGGGAAGCACAGAUUGUAUCAUCAUGAAAUUUUCACACAUGGUGGAAUUUCAUUUGUUAGCAGUCACAGAGGGUGCUGCUUGGCAUUUGAAACUCCACCACAGUAUUAAACUCAUUAUCAUGUGAAUUGAUAAUAUCUAGUACAGGUUUGUUGUUUUUUUUCCUUUCAAAUGGCUCAUUGUUGCUUGUGAUUUGUAUUGAAGUCAUCCAAUGCUGAUUUUUUUAAUUUAAUAGUCCACUUCCUCUUUUUAGGUGUGUGUUUUAUGGAAUCACAAAUAAUAGUCAUUACUAUUUCUGAGAUCAGAUCACAUGAUACCCAUGUAUCUCAAGUUUUCUUUAUAGAAGGUCGUGGUUGGUAGCUGAGAAAGAGUCAAAUGAAGCCAGUAGUAAACAAGAACUUUUUACACGGGUUUACUCUAGCUUCAAAAUCAGAAAGACCUUAUUUAAAAUCUUGUUUCACUACCUCUGAGCUAAAUGGUUUUGGGGAUACUCAUUCAUUCUGUCAGUCAAUAACACUGACACAGUGGUAACUUUGAGCUCAGCACUGAUCUAGGCACUGGGGAAAUAGCAGUGGCCUGAGCAAAGUGCAUGUCUUUAGAGAGAUCACAGGCGAGUGAAAAAACAGAAAAGGACACUUAAAUACCAAGUACAGUGAACCUCCAAAGGGAAGGCCUAAUUAAGUGGGGCUAGAUGAAACAUGUCUAAUAGAACUUAUGUCCAAGUUGAAGCCAAAGAAUGAAUGGGCCCAUUUGGGAAUGGGGGAAUUCAGGGGAGCAAAUUUGUCAGAGGAGCAGUUUAUGCAGAUUCCUACAGACUGGCUAAACUGUUUAAGAAAAAGUAAAACCUAUUUGGUCUACAUGGUGGUGGGUAGGGCAGUUAGCAGGGACAAUUAUGGGCAAAUCCUAAAGGGUCUUAAAAGGCAUGUCAGAAUUUUGGAUUUUUUUCGUAACAGCAUUGCUUAACCUUUCUAAAUGCCAAUUCACUCAGCUAUAAAUUAAGAUAAUAACACCUAAUCUCAUGAGGUUUUUAGAAAGAUUAUACAAGAUAUAUGUAUAUAAUUUGCUUAGAAACCAGGCUUGGCACAUUAUAAAUAUCUUAUGAUAAUAGCUAUUAUUCAUUUUCUUCAGCCUAUUAUUACUGGUAUUCUUAUUAAAAAGCCAAUUUGUGGCUGGGCCAUAUAAGGGUAAGGAGGGUAUCAAAGCUAGUAGAUCAGAGCCCAGUGGAAGCCUGUUUGCUGUUUGCUAGUUUGCACAGUUAGAUACUUUUCAGGAGAUACCAACUUUAGGAAGAAAGAAUUAGCAAGCAGGUAUCUUAGCUCUAAACUGAUACCACCUAGAGCAGUGGUUUUCAACCAAGAGCUAUUUUUGCUUCCCGGAGGACAUCUGGUGACAUCUGGAAACCAUAAUGCUUGACACCCCUGGAGGGAGGGUGUAAUGGGUGGAGACCAUGGGUUCUGCUAAUAUCCUUCACUGCACAGAACAGUCACCCACAACAAAGAACUGGCAAUAGUGCUGAGUUUGGGAACCCAUCACCUAGGUCAUGGCAGUCAGCGUGAGAACAGGGGCCAAAUCUGGCACAAGGUGUCAAAGAUGAUGAGUUCGAGUCUGUGAAGCUAUCACAUUAUUACAAGGUUGUCUCUAUCCUUUGCCUUUUCUGCCCUCUGUUGCCCUGGAAUACAAAGUAAACAUCACAUGGUGAAUUGCAUGUACAGUUUGCUCUGUUUCAAGGCUGCUAAAACAUAUAGACAUCCUUUAACUAAUCAGUUUCAGCCAGUCUCUUCAGGGGGUGGUAAUUGCAGCUGAUAACGGCAAUCAUGUGUUCCUAAAGUGGCACUGGAGGAAUACGGAGAUGAUGUGGGGGGAGUGUCAAAUCUACGACUUACCUAGGGCGAUGUCAGCCAGCUGCAAACAGUAUUGCUAGACCAUCCAAAUUAAACAAUUCGUUUUUUAAAAGAAUGUAAAAUGAAUUCAAUAUGUAGAAUCUGUGGAAAAUUAUUAUAACAAACUCUUUCUACUUAUCUAGACUAAACUAAGGGCUUGUAUAGUCAAUGCAUGUUAUCGAUUGUACUAUGGCAUUCUGUUUCCAAUCUGAAUUUCCUUAGGGAUUUCUAUAUAUUUAAUUAAUUGUGAUAUUGCCUUAAUUGGAUGUCAAGUAAUAGUAGUGGCUGGAAGUGGUUAUGUUUUAUCAUUUCUGAUUUUAGUGUUGAAUAAGAACAAAUGCUUCUGCAGCCAUGUUUUAUGUUUGAAAUUUGGCAAGUUUAUAGUUUUAAAAAAUAAUUUUAUGUGUUAAUUUGCAUAAGUAGUCCAAAAUGUAUUUAAAUAUAAAUAUUUGAAAUUAGUAAAUAUGUUCUACUAAUGUGUAUAAGAAUCUUAUAUACGUAUUAAUUUUAUGAGUGCAAUUUAAUUUUGAAUGAGGCAUUUUCUUAAAUGAGGGUAACUGAAAUCUGUUUAAACUUCACUUUUCACAAUGCAUAGGUCUAGAUGAAAAAGGGGUUAGUAUUUAACAAAUUUCAUAGCUCAAGUGAAAGUUAGGCAAUAUAAAAUAAGUAUAACUUUUAAAAGCUUAAAAACAAUUAUUGUGUUUUCGCCUUACAAUUCAGAAGUGAUUAAAACAAAUAUCAAUGUGGGGUCUGGGUUAACUAUGUAAAAUCUUCAAGAUCCAGGGUAAGAAUUAUCAAUCUGAUCCUGUCAUUCCUCUACUGAACACCUCAUGGUUUCUUAUUACUCUUGGUGAAAAUAAAUAUAUAAAUAAAUAAAACCUCCCUAACACAGCCUAGUGUCCAGUACAAUCUUUUUCUACUUUUCUUGGCCCCCCUCACUCAAAUGCUUGCUUCCACAGGGCCUUUAUAUAUGUACUUCCCUUUGCCUGAAAGUCUCAUUUCAGUUGCUCCUUUGCUUAAUCACUCAGACUAAGUCAAAUCUUUAAAUAAUAUAUACUCAGGGGAUGUCAAUCUCUCUUUUAUAUUCCUAUCACAGUGGUCAUUUUUCUAUGUAUGUAUGUAUUAAAUUCAUAUAGGGGGUAGCCAAAAAUUGCAGCCCUUUUUAUAAUCAAUUUAUCACAGAUUUGCAGGGUUUACCAGUCUUAUUUCCCAGUCAUCCUUGUGAUGACACAUUUGUGGAAAAGAUGAGCCCACCAGAUAAAAGAUAAUAAUUAUAAAUAUGACUUGUGUUUGUAUAGAGCUUUAUAUCUUAUUAAGCCUAUUCGAAGUCUUAUUCUCAUUUGAUCCUUGCAAUAAUCCCAUGAGGAAUGUAGGAAAGUUAUUUAUUCAGCAAACAUUUUAAGCAUCUAUUAUGAUGCUGAAUGCUAGAGAUACAAAUAUAAAAAUAAGCAGCAACUUUACUCUCCUACCACCACGGAGAUCCUCCUUUGGGAAGAGAGAGGAGAUAUUCAAAUCGCUAACUAUAAGGGAGGGUGAUUAGGGCUAGAUUCAGUAUAUGAAAAGAUUGGUGCAUGAAUGAGAACAGGAAAUGGUUGAUUCUCCCUGAGGAAGGGAAAGAAGCGGGAAGAGCAGUGCAAGUAGAGGAAACAAAGCAAAUAAAUGAACAUGAAAUCAUGCAUCAUUUGUGUUGCAGAAAAGUCAGAUGCAGAGAGAUAUUGGUAGAAGAUGGCCUAGUUCUGCUUAUCUUGGUCUCCUCUGCAUAUCUCUGUCUUGAUUCCAUUCUCAGGCAGGUCCUCCUACACUAGUGACAAGCAGUUAACUAUUUCACAUGUUUUCCUCUCAACAUUUCCAAUAUGAUUUUUAAAAUUGUGUUGCAUGGGCUCCAUGUAUGUUGCAUGGGCUCCAUGUGGGCUCCAUUCUCUUCUCAGGAAUAGGAAAUGUUCAAUUUGACCACAUCUGAAUAAAAAGUCCACUUCCAAAGUCAGAUCCAGAUUAGGUGUAUCCAAAUCACAUGUCUUAAAGCAAUAGUUCUCAAAUGUCAACCAACGUAAGGCUCCCCUGGAGGGCUUAUGAACACAUAUAUGCUGGACUACACUCUCCAGAGUGUCUGAUUCAGCAGGUCAGGGUUGAAUUCCUAGAUUUCUUGGCAAUACUGCUGCUACUCAUCCAGGGCCACAUUUUGAAACCACUGCCUUUGAGAAUUAGAAGGACAGUUUCCUGUGAAAAAAAUCUACGUACUAUACCUGAAGAUAUACAUUGGGUUCCAGGCUAGCUGAAACUGCAGACUUAAAACUGUGCAAUUUUGGAAGCCUAUGGUGGUUGCUUACAUUUUAGCCUUUUCUGUCUUGCUUCACCAUUUCUACUUCACUUAUCAGUACUCUUUAUAAUUCAUAAUUCUUUUUUGGCUACACAAGUCUACUCACCUUCCAGCACCAGAUCUUUACCAUUCUGAAUCAAUAUAUCUGUUCUUUUUUGUUUUCCUCUGAAGAACUUGAUUCAAAGAUCUGAUGGUUGCAUUGCCAUUAAAAUCACAAAACAGGAGUUCCUUUUGUGGUGCAGUGGAAACAAAUCCAACUAGGAACCAUGCAGUUGCAGGUUUAAUUCCUGGCCUUGCUCAGUGGAUUAAGGAUCUGGUGUUGCCAUGAGCUUCAGUGCAGGCCUCAGACAUGGCUCGGAACCCACAUUGUUGUGGCUGUGGUGUAGGCUGGCAGCUGUAGCUCUGAUUUGACCCCUAGCCUGGGAACCUCCAUGACGCAGGUGUGGCCCUAAAAGGA